rnacentral:rRNA from 2 species
UUGGGAAGUCCUCGUGCUGCACCC